GGCCGCGUGGCCUAAUGGCAUGGCGUCUGACUACGACCAGUACUUGCUCGAGCAAGCUUGGAGUUAUCAGGAGAUUCUGGGUUCGAUCCCCAGCGUGGUCA